CCAGACCCAGAUUACUGGCAGGAUCUGCAAAGGAGUGACCCCUAGAACUGACUGCACCUGGCAGAAAAGAGAAAACAUAGAGAAAGGUCAGGACAUCUGCAGGUUGAAGUCACAUAAAGCUAAAGCUGGAAAAAUGGACAGAAAAGGCAAGUCCUGCAUACCCAUGUCAGAGUCACCUCCACCAGAUGAGUUCAGCUUUCGAAAUAUCUCCUGUUUCUUGGAUUUUACCAUUGGUGAAGUGUUCUCAAGUUUGGUGAAAAACGAAGGCAGGUAACUGAUACUGCCUGGAGAGCGAGAGUCAGUCCUGCCAAGACCAACACGUGUCAAAGAGACAGAACUUGUAAGAUGCACAUUGAAAUCUUCCCAAAAGCAGUCAGGCAGAAACCACUAACAGUCAUAGAAGCACUGGGGGGCUCAAUAAUAACUUGAGUUUGCCUAAGCAGCAGCAAUCCAACAAAUAAGCUUGAAUUAAAAAAAACAAACAAGUUGCACCUAAAUUAAAAAAUAAUCUAAAAAUGAAGUAAAAAAUAAUCUAGCUUUCCUAGCCCAAGAUCCUUACAUUUCUAAAAAGUGCAAUAUCCCCUGCCAUGUUCCUGAAAAUCCCUUUGCAUCUACUUAACAUCCAUCAUGGACUCUAAUAGUCCUACAGCAACUGCAGAGUGGAAAACCCCAAGAAAAUUAGAAUCAGUUUCACCAGCCUGAAGCUUAAAUAAGUACUUUGGGUGCUCUUCCUUCCUCAGCAGGGCAAACACAGGUACACCUACUCCAGUGUGCAUCUCCCACAUGUUUGCAGACACCAGCACUGCCAGGGAGCCCGUGAAGGUCCUGUGCAGUUUUAUGGUGCAGAUCUGACAGACUGGGACAUCCAUGGACACCCCACUUCACUCCUCCUGGAACCUCUUUAGCUUAGUGAUUUUUCAAGUGAUUAUCUGCUCCAGCACCAUGAGUACUGGAAGCCUGGGUUCCUCCCCUCUCCACCAGGACAGUAUCCAGGAAUCCAACCAGACAGGAGAAGACUGAAUGAUUUAAUGAAAAUUUGUAACCUUUCUCAAAACUCACUUCAGUUUUACAGAACUGGUAACCACAAGGAAUUUAACAUUCUGUCAGAUGUGACACAGAACACUCUGCUUGCACCAAGAAACUUAAGACAGAGCACCAACAUGUGACCUUUCCCUCAGCCUUCCCAAAGCAACUUCCAAAUAGCAAGUUUUGGAUGUUAGUGCAGAAGGAUUGACAGUGAUUAACAACUUGCCUGUGGCACCAGAGAAAGGUCGGUUGAGCUGCUCUUUAAUAAAGACACAGUUUGCAGCACAAAGAUUCAGAAUUAUGUUUUUAAAAGUCAAUUUUACACCUACCUCUGUUCAGUAGGCUCAGCUCUUUGGGAAAGCAAAAGAACAUUUUCCUGUUUCUCAUGUACAACUGGGACCUGAGGUGGCGAGAUUGGCUCGUAG